rnacentral:lncRNA from 1 species
CUUGUCGGCCGCCUUUUUCUCUCCCCUCUUAGUGAACCCACUUUCUUUAGUAAAGCGGUUUUGCAUCCGUUCACUUCUUGACUUUCCAUGGGUUUCUUAGAGAGCAGGUGGUUCUCGGUUCCCCACAUUUUUCUACCCCUUCUGUUCUGAGACAUGACUUUUUGUCGUCCCUCCUUUAAAUAAGAUCCCUCACUUAUAGCUCGACGGGCCCGCACGUGGACGGGGCAUUCAAAUUCUUUUUGUAGCGGGAUCGUAACAUCCUCUUAGUUUUGUCGAAAUUGGACAAACACGUGUUCCUCAACCCUAGGUAGGGCGUGACUAGGACAUACCUAGCCACUCGAGCUAGACUAUUGUCUACCUGAAUAGCUUUUCGUUUGCCAUUAACUGAUCACCAAUGUUGCGUAUCAGUCACUCAAAUACAGGGUUAGAGGAGCACCAUCCUUUCUUAUCUUGUGACCUUGAGUUGGUUAGGUGAUCAAUCUUUGAAUUCAGGGUUCAGUAGCACCUCGAGCCGAACCUUGCGCAAAAAGGGCUUUGCUUUAUGGUAUAGAUUAGGAAUUGGAAUAAGUAAGGCUAACUAAAAGAGAGAAGAGGGUCUACAGUCAUUCUAUCUCAACACUGAAGAAUAAGACUUCUAUCCUUACUCUUGCAUUAAAUAGAAUAAUAUUAAAGGGAGGGGAGUAUAUCGAAUAUAAGGCUACCCUCAGGCAAACCCAUAAUAAGGCUGAUGAAAGCGAAGCAGAAUUUAACACAAAUAAGGUACACUCUUGAUCCUUACAUCACAUCUUUACUAUGACUAAAAAGUGCCGAAAGGAGAAAGUCAAAGAAGGACUGGAAACUUGCAGAUAAUGAAUAUAAAGAUGAAAGAUUGAAUGCUUUAUCAGAAAGGUAUGUAUUUUAGUCACAUGAAUUUCGCGAAUUGAAAAUUUGGGCAAGUUGACUCAGCUCUUUUUUCCAAUAAAAGGUUUCCCCUGAGCCCCCUUCCAAAAGGAAUAGAAGGCGCAAGCUAGACCUAUCCAAUAGAUCAAGUCUAGCUUUGCCAACUAUUUGAAAACGAAGAUUCGAACAGGAAACUACUUCAACGGAAAAGAAAGCUAAGCUCAAGACAGGACUAGAGGAGUGCGCUCCACUUUGCGAGAUCUUGUUUCUGGUAGAUCUAUCCUCAUCUCUACGGUUCCCAGUACCCACUCAGUUGCUCCAGUCACGCCUCUCGAUUCACUCCUCGAGGCUAGGAACAGUCCUACAGCACCGGGUCGAUACGGACUAAAGUCCAUGUCUCCCCUAUCCGGGGCAUAUGGCUGCUGACUCUACUUAAGCAGCCUAGAACCCCGGACUGCGGGCUUUCGCUCUUACCCAUGAAGGGAUAAGAGCUUAGAGCCCUGGCUUUCCUGACUAGAGCUGAUUCGUGGGUCCUGUUCUCCUACGUUCCGAGGAACGAUCUACCUCCGUUCCUUCCCUUCAACAACAUCCCUCUCCAUUCCGGAUAAGGGAAUUGAAGGACUUAAAUGAGAGAAUAAGGCAAGCCCAAGCAUUUUCAAUUUUUAAGUAUAUAUAUACCUUUCCAGGCAAUAGAGCAGAGGGAGAGCAGCCCUCGUCCAUACGAUGGCCGGGAAUAGAGGGGGAAGCUAAUUACACUGUUUGGUUUCCUAACAUAGGACUGAGCAUGUCUCAAGGGACUGAGACAUGCACUAACAAGGCUCAUGUGUAGAGGGAUGCCACCUCUAAGGGUGCAGACUUUACAAUAGGAAAGGAACAUAUUUGGGAUCUUACCCUUGUCGAGUCCAGUCGCCUAGGGCGCUUAGGCAAGGCACCGAUGCCAGAGGUACCGAUCUAAGCUUUCCCUAUUAAAGGGAAUUCCUCCUAACGUCGGAAACUCUAUUUAUUUGGGAUCGGUCUUCCUCGUUCGUUCCCUCAAGUGUCCGGUCACUCCUCAUCGACCUUGUUCUUAAUGGUAUUGCUAGGUUUUUAAAAACUACCUUGAAUAAGACCAACAUUAUGAACUACUACUCGCUGAAGUACUUCGCUUUCAAGUAGAUGGACUUGAUUUGAUCACGUGAGGGAUCAAAGGGAAAAUGCUUGUUCACUCCAAAAAGGAGGCCUAUUUGGCCGAUUUGCGAGACCUAACGUAUGAUCCUUCACAAUCAGGCUCCAAGUCCUUGUUGGACACCUUUUUAAUAGCGAACAAGGGCUCUGCCUAAUGCAUUCAGAACCGAACAUUAGCAUUCCGGGCAAGGAAUAGAACUGCUUUGCUAUUAAAUGGAAGUCCUCCCAAGGGUCGGACACUCUUUCUUUAUUUACCGAACUAGCAACAAGGAGCUUUUCAAGCAGAUUUCCCUGUUCAGAAAAGGGCAGGAAACAGUGGGUUUUCCCGAGCGACCUAUCCUAUCUAUGGUCCUUCCAUAUAGUUGGCUUGAUGGCCCUUGUGGACAGAGUCUGUUCUCAUUAGAGAAUUGACCUUAGAACUUUGUGAUCAAGACCCGUGGUUAGUCUAGUAGAAACUUGAUCUCCGGAAAGGAGGUCCGCUUAUUUACUUAUCUGAAAAAGCAAAAGGUAGGUAGGCUAUUUCAGAGAAGAGUACAUGGGUUUUCACAUAGCCGGAUAUGAAAAGAGACCCUAAUGAGCAGCUUUUUUUAUUCGUAAACCCUUCUUUCUAUGCUUAUGGAAUCAGCCAGUGGCAGGUCUUGACGAUUGAAUUCAUCCCAUUUUACUUUGUUGAGUGCGAUCUGGUAUUGACUUCCCCUUAUUUUCCAUCGAUCGGGUAGUUAGUUAGGUCCCACGGACAAGAAGUCCUAUAUACUGAAAUAAGAGGGACUCCUUCCAGGCAUCGCCGUUAAGGUGCUCUUUUGAUAGAUUUCUAUACCUUCACCUCCCUUUCCUCUGUAUCCGGGCCUACGCGAACAACUGCUUGCUUAUCGAAGAAGUCUGCUCACAUGAUUGGAAUAUGGCUCCCGUAUGCAUGCUAUUCUGGGACUGAGGAAUGCCUUUCUAUGGUGGACCCUGAGGUCAGACUCUUGCUGCUUGAUUCAAAACCAGAUUCAAUAGCAGCAACAUAUUGAUGAUGGUGCCUGAACUACCUAUUCUAUUACCUUUUUGGAAGCCCCAAAGCCACAUCAAGCCUUAUGCUAUGGGUCAAGGUACUCUCGAGACCGUCUGGAUUGAAGACUAUCAAGCACCGCAGGUGGUACCAGCAUUCCCUGUUGAUAGGGCAUUCCAAUCUCUGGGUAGCUGCCCGCCCUACUUCAUUCCUAUCUCCUUUGGCGUCAGCCCCAUGUACCCCCUUAAACUAACCACUUGAAUUGAUCAGGAUUUGUUAGGUUGAGUGCAUUUUCUUCCAAAUCAAGUCAAUUUCAAGAAAAGUAUCGAAAAAUCCCGGGGUUAGGCACCUUUUUUAGUGAAAUCUUGUUUUUGCCCUGCAUUAAUUCCGAACAUUUCCUGGAAGUAGGCGACACGUUUUAAAUCUUAAUGCUGGCAUGGCAUAUUUUGUUGAAUCAGUCUUUUUCGCCACAUCACGUAUAAAGGGAAUCGAACCCAACUCUUCCACGAAGCCCCCACGAAUGGCCCUUCCUUAAUUCAAUGAACUAUGAGAAUUCCUUUUUUCGGUUUUUCUUUUCAGUUCUCAUAAGUCCUUGAUAUACUAGCAGAAACUCAAUACUUGACCGACUGCGUCACAGUGCUCAGGUACAGUGGCAGUGGUUGAAAGCGAGUGGAAACGUCAGUGUUUUCUGUGCGUUACGAUAGUAGUGGUGAAAGAAAAUCCAAUUCAAAUAUCUCAACGUAAAAGGAAAAUCGUUUCACUUUGAAAGGAAAGCUAGCUAUAUGAGAUCGAAAUCAAUCUAUCUAUGAUAUUCAUUGCACCAUGAUUGAAGGACAAUGAGGGGCAGGUUAUAUUCCCUUUCUUCUGAUCGAUUGAGCUCAAAGGAAAAAGGCACUAAAGAUGUUUAAGAUGUUUCAUCAGAAUUGCUAUUGACAUUGACUCGUCCGAGUGAUUAGCAAGCACCUCAGGGUUGUGAGAAAUCCAUCCCCAAAACCCAGAAUUGGAUCUAUUGUUUUCACUUUCUUUCCCAAACAAUGUAUCUGUUGAUACCAGAAUUGCUUAUAUUGCUCGCCCUAAGAUGGAAAAUGCGAUAGAACCCACUUUACAUACCUCCAUAGGAGGAGAUCCCUUAGAAGAGAGUGAAACAGGUAGUACAGCAAUUCACAAGCCAUAGAGAACGAAACUCGGAAGAAGAUCUAGUUUCAAGUCAGCUAGGAAGACCUCUUUCUUAAAUUAAAGGGAAGGGGUCCACAUAAGCCCCAAUUAUUCCCUAGCUUGUUAAUCCAACAUAUCAGUUGGCGUGUCUGAAUAAGAAAGAGUUGGGCGAUGGUUUUAGAAAACCCGAAACUAGCCAUGCCCUAAAGAAAGUGAAUUCCAAUCUACGUGAAUCAUGAAAGAAGCAAAGCCGGUCAAAGAAUCGAUUAUAUGCCUUCUCUUUCCAUAAGACCGAUGGCCUUAGUAACAUAACGCACAGAAGGAAUAGAAGACAGAGCGAGGGGAUAUGUCACGAGCAAAAGGGAUGAACAACUACCCCUGUAUACGUAGCUUUGUGUAACAGGGGAACGACUGUUGAGUCAAAAAGCUGAGUGAGAAGGAAGCAAAGGAUCGGUUGUGGCAGGAUACGAAGUGCUCUGCUAAGCCAAUACGAAUGUUUACAUACGAACCCACACCAAUACAUACGAGUAGUAGGGGUAUGGAAAUCUCAUCAAUUAAAGGUUAGGGCUCGGUUUCCGGUUGACUUUUUGAAUCCUAUCCUCUAUUUCUGGUUAAACCAAUUAAAUAGGAGUAUCCACCCAACUUUCAUAUGUUGUUGUUCCUAUACGCUAACGGGUUCAUCUUUAUAGGCAAUGAUUUUAUUUGUAUUCCAAUUCGUAAGUAUACCCCAUCGCUUUGUUUACCAUCCCUAUCAUCUCGAAUAAGGUUUCCUAGCCUAGCCCAUCUCGGUGUCAGCUACCGAAAGAGAAAA